AUAUGAAGUACUAAUAGUUAAAAUAUAUAUAAUUUAUUUUGACAGUCGGAUUUAAUUUUAUUUACUAUAAAUGGAUAUAAGCAUUUGAAUUAUUAUCAUUUAUAUUAUUAGUUAGAAAAAAUUCUAUAAAUCUCGAUUAAGUCUUAGCUCAAUUGGUAUGAGUAUUAUUGUCAAUGCGCUAAAGCGUAUUAUUUUCUUAUUUAUGGGUUGGGGAGGAGCUAUAGUUAGUGUCGAAACCAUCUUUCAAAUUUAAAGAAAAAUAGGGAAUCGACUUUUUGAAAAUAAAACAUGGAGUCGCCACCAAUCUUUUUAUUUAGGUGUGAUUGGAUCACCAAGAAGUUUGGUCAUUCUAAUAAAAUCCUUUGGCUUACUAAAACAACGAUUUUGGUCUACGCAAAUAUGAGAAAACGGGUUCGGGAGUCGGUUACGUAUGAGGAAGGAUUAGCACCCUCACUACGCCCAAAAUCGGUACCAAAUCAAUUAAAUACUGUCCUUAUGUCUGAGAUUUAAAAGAGUUUUUGAAAUGUGAUUCCUUUUGAAGCAUUUGAAUGGCUCGAGUUGGUUGUCAAAAUUCUCUUGUUUCGGAGGAAUGCAGCAUCACAUCCAGCACGAUAGGACACGAUCCUUUAUACCCCCGAAAAUAACAAUGAGUUUUGACUUCUGAAAGCUUAUACAUUGAAAAUUACAAAAGGAUGCCCAAUUAUUCAGUCCAAUGAAAAAUCGAAACCCAGCACGGUAGGGAAAUCGCAACCCAACAUGAUAGGGCACUAUUCCCCGAAUUGCCAAACAUCAAACAUUACCUUCGUUUUGAAGAAUUUUUAAAGACAUGGGUGAAAAACAAAAGGAAUAUUCGAUUAUUUUGAACAAGCGAGAAAUCGCAACCCAGCACAAUAGGGCACGAUUCCCGAAUUGUCAAACAUCGAGUAUUGCCUUCGUUUUAAAGAGUUUUUAAAUGAAUAAUUAUAAAAAUAGCUUAAAACGCGUUAAUGCGACUUGAAAUAAAACGAAAUUAAUCUUAAAGAUUUGGACCUUAUAAAACCAAAUUUCGUAAACCAAGUGGAAAACAAUGAUAUGGGAUGAUGUACACACAUGAGAUACAAUCAAUUAACAAACUAAUAAUUAAGUAUAACUAACCUAAAAAAUAUAACCCGAUUACGAUCAUGCAUGGAAAAUAAUCGAUAUAAUAAUACAAAACAA